GAUGAAGAACGCAGCGAAUUGCGAUAAGUAGUGUGAAUUGCAGACUCCAGUGAAUCAUCGAAUCUUUGAACGCACAUUGCGCUCUCUGGUAUUCCGGAGAGCAUGCCUGUUUCAGCGUCAGCUUAACAUCAAACUCUAGUUUGGUAUUGGGAGAUGAGCUUCGGUUCACUCUUUAAAGCUAUUGGCGAACAAACCAGCUGCAUGACGUAGUAAACUAACUGUCGUCUGUUGCUUGCUGGCGAGUGCUGCCAUCAAUGACACUUUUCUGUGUUUGACCUGAAAUCAGGUAGGGAUACCCCCUGAACUUAAGCAUAUCAAUAAGCGGAGGA
rnacentral:misc_RNA from 1 species